GGCAGGAGCAUGGCAGUAUGAUCUUUUUCUGGAGUACUUGAUUUCUGCCAAAACUGCAUUUCCUUUCACAGAGCAGAGAUACACCAAUGCAGCCAGCAGGAGCAGGGAGGUGAUCAUCCCUCUGCACUCGGCACUGGUGAGGCCACACCUCAAGUGCUGUGUUCAGUUUUGGACCCCUCUCUACAAGACACUGAAGCCCUGGAGUGUAUCCAGAGAAGGGCAGCAGAGCUGUGAAGGGUCUCGAGCUCAACCCUGAUAGAGAGCAGAUGAGGGAGCUGGGGUUCUUCAGCCUAGAGAUGAGGAGGCUCAAGGGAGAUCUUAUUGCACCUGAAAGGAGGUUGUGGCAAGGUGGGGGUCGGCCUCUUCUCCUGCAUAACCAUCAACAGGAUGAAAGGGAAUGGCCUCAAGUUGUGCUAGGGGAGAUUCAGGUUGGAUAUUAGGAGAAAUUUCUUCCCAGAAAGAGCGGUGAGGCAGUGGCACAGGCUGCCCAGGGAGGUGGUGGAGUCACCGUCCCUGGAGGUGUUGAAGAGCCGUGUGGAUGUGGCACUGAGGGACGUGGGCAGUGGGCGUGGUGGGGGUGGCAGGUGGUUGUACUAUACAUAACCAUACGUAACCCAGAGUACUGAUAGUUUUAAAACCUGUUUAAUACAUGAAAUAGAAGAAGGUAUUUAAAGGACUUUGGUGGAGAAGAAAUUAUUCCAUUUUCCAUGCUGUAUGACUUACUGCUGAACAAUGAAAUAAAAAAUAGUACAGCCGCAAUGGUUGGUUAGCUCUAGCUAAUGGAUGAGGUGCAGGCAGAAGCAGAGCAAGAAAGCAAUGGCAGGUCUGGUUUCCUUGUGAGGCUUAACAUCUGAAAACUGAUGCUUUAUUAAGCUUCAUUUAAAAAUGAGAUCUGUCCUUUUUUGAUACUGAUCAAGUCCUAGAAGAAGGGUUGUACACACUCAGAUAUUGCAGGAUUAGUGUCAGGCAUCCAACAGAACAAAGCUUUUCUUUUGAGUCUUGGUCUUAAACUGCCAGUGUUAGUCUUGGAGACAAUACUUGAAAAUAUAGCCAAUCCCUGUAUACCUCUAC
ensembl:lncRNA